CUAUCCUGUUCGAGGAUAGUAUAGUAAAUGGAUUUUUGAAGUAGGGAGUUGGAAUAGGAGCUUGUUCUGUCUACUCCACACAUUGACCUGGUAUUGCAGUACCUCCAGGAACAGUGC
rnacentral:snRNA from 1 species